CAGCCGCCGCGGGAAUACAGAGGGUGCAAGCGUUAAUCGGAAUUACUGGGCGUAAAGCGCGCGUAGGUGGUUCGCCAAGUUGGAUGUGAAAUCCCCGGGCUCAACCUGGGAACUGCAUCCAAAACUGGCGAGCUAGAGUAUGGUAGAGGGUGGUGGAAUUUCCUGUGUAGCGGUGAAAUGCGUAGAUAUAGGAAGGAACAUCAGUGGCGAAGGCGACUGACUGGACAAGUAUUGACGCUGAGGUGCGAAAGCGUGGGGAGCAAACAGGAUUAGAUACCCGCGUAGUCCCUGUCUCUUAUAC
rnacentral:rRNA from 1 species